rnacentral:lncRNA from 1 species
AUCGGAGGUUGGGAGGAUCGGGGCACGGAGGCGCUCCUCACCUGCUUUCUGUGUCCCUCCUAGAGAAGUUUUCUUCGUCGAGAGCCUUACCCUGCUGCUGGGAACAGUCGCUGUCCAGGAUCGUGGCGAGGGAAGCAUUCAGCCCGGGCUCUGGUCCCUCCAGGGAGGACGGCGGCCCGGGCACAGCAUCGAGCACAGGUUCCAGUUGAAAAUGGUCCAGAAAUAUCAGUCUCCAGUUCGAGUCUACAAGUAUCCAUUUGAGCUGGUCAUGGCGCUCACUGAGAGCAGUCACCUACGCAGACCUUGCUCAUCUUUUCUACAAGGGUAAUAAGGAAGACAUUGCCAUAUACCUCUCUGAAAUCUGGACAUCCUAUGCCUAUACCACAUUCCCCUGGUUAUUGUGGGUUAUACUGAUAUUUUGGAUUGUAUUUUAUCUGGAUCUGAUGACCUGAAUUCAUUCAGAAUGGCCAGGUACUUGGACUUAAACUUCCUGUUAAAUAUUUGUUCCAUCUUCCUCAGUCUGGAACUCAUUCUUCUUGGUAAAGAAAAUAGAAACAAAGCAACAGUUGAGUAGUGGUAGUACCACCUUCUUUCUGUCAUCCAUUUUUGUUGUCCUGUCCAGCUCAAAUAAUGCUACUAUCUUGUCCUUUAUCAUCCUUUGGUCUUUUUGUUAUUGUUGUCGUCGUCUUAGCAUUCAAUAUAAACUAUAGCUUUUUCUAGGCCUUAGCUUUUCUGACAUAUUCUUAUAGGAUCAUGUCACUCUUUUGUCUGUAAACAUUUUUAGUUAUCUCUCCCUCUCUCCCUCUUCCUUUUCUCCCCUUCCCCUUGAUCUCAUUUUGUGUGUGUGUGUUUAAAAAAAUAAAAUUGAGAUGGCCAAUGAGUUCCCUGUGUAG